UAGCGAAGCUGUUUAGAGUCUGUAGAAUUAUGCUUCGAUACACAGAAAUGCACCGGCAGGGACGCCGGGGCAAGGAGCUAUCGAGCCAUGGAGGGCGAGUAGCGACGGUUUCGUCAGCUGGAGAAAAUCUAUAAGCAUAAUUCGUACAGAAUCUUAACAGCGCAGCGU
ncrna:unclassified sequences TwoGGAY RNA